CGCACUGUUUGACAUUGAACACACGACAACAUUCGAAACCUCAAACCGCCCCCCUCACAGGAAUUGCUUUAGAGUUGUUCACUUAAACUGUAAGAAAGUUAUUUGAUAUAUUUUUCCUAAAGCUUUGACAUUAAAUUUAUAUAGAGUGAUAACUUUAUUUGAAUAGACAUUGAUAAUAAAUAUAAUUAAAUAUUUUUUGAAGAUUUCAAAAAUAAAAAGGUGAGGGUGUAUUUAUUUAAAUGAAAUAUGUGUUGUGUUAAUAUUUCUAAAAUACGUUUAAGUGUAUGAUUUUUUUCUAAAGUGAUCGUGUUUGUGACUGAAAAAAGACACUCGGAGGCUCGGUCACGAGUUCACGGGUCGUUAAUUCGACGAAGGAGAGAAUCCGAAAAAGGUCUUCGUUUGCGUCCGCUCAUUGGAGUGAUAAAAUUUAUGACAAACGGUUAACCCUACGGUUGAUUUGUGUACAAAAUUAUUCGGCGCUCCGGAAACAUGAUUCGGUGGCGGAGUGUGCGCGAGAAGGAAGUGUCGGGAUGAAGUGGAGGCGUGCGGGGCGGCGAGCGUGCACGAG